ensembl:lncRNA
GGAUCUUGCUCAUUUUUUAAUCACCGCCCUGGCCCCUCCCCAGUGUCUAGCCCGAGCUUGGGCAGGAGGCUCGGUUCACGUUUGAUGAAACGAUGCGGCCGGGCUGGGGGAUGCGUGUAAGUCGGGUGUCGGAUCCCAAGUCCCGAGAGGCACAGAGCCUGAGUGCCCCCGCCAGCCCCUCUAAGCCCCGGCAUCCGGGCGGCGACCGCAGCGGCGGGGACAGGAGGCGCUGCAGCUUUAAGAUUUCUCCCGGGCGUCCGGGUUGCCAGGCGCGGUUGCCAGGGGCCUGCGCCGCGCUGUGUCCGGCCUGCGCGCACCGGCCCCGGGUUUCCGCCGCCGCCGCCGCCGCCGGGCCGCGUCGGGCUCUGCUCCUCCGAACCGUCUGGCGGACUUGGCACCGGCCCCCGCUCCUCGGUGCCCCCGCGUGAUGUUCAAACCUCGCGGCUGUCCACGGCUAAAUGGGGUCAGCAGUGACGGGUGGAUGGCAGGACCCCCUCAGGUCUCUGCAAGAAGAAAGGGAGAGGAGGGGCCGCCCCCCAGCCCUGCUGCUGUCUGGGGUGGAACCCUUGAGGCAGGUGCGUGUUCAGGUGUUCCAAUUCCUUCUUCUCUGGAAGAUGACCUUGACCAAAGCUGCCCCUUGCCAGGGUGAGACAGAGUGUCCCGGCACCUGCCUGGCGCAUGUGGUAUAGUACUUGAAGUCUCAGCAGGCUCUCCACCGCCCCAGACCCUGACUCUCCCUCUAGUGCCUCAGUCCUGUGCUGUCCAGGAGCCAGACCUGGGAAACUCUCAGGUGGGCUUGGCCCUUUGGGGUAAGUCCAGCCUUUAGUCUCCCAGGAGGAGGGAGCUGCCAGAGAGUUUAAGGCUAUUUUUUCCCGACUUGUGGCAGGCAUGUUUGUGAACACAGCCUGCCUGGGUCGCUCUGCCAGCCCGUGUCCAUCUCCGGGUCUAUGAGUUCGUCCGUUUAUUCUUCCACCCCCUGUUUACUGGGUGGCCACACUGGCAUACCCAGCAGGUGACCUUGUGGGAAUGAAUGCAUACAGAAUCCACUCUGAAACGGCUGCUUUUCAGGGAGAUGCACACAGCAGCCUGUCCAGCACAAGGGCAUUUGCUACGGGGGGUGGGGGAGGGGUCCUCCCAGGUAGAUUCUGGAACAUUCCAUGAGGUCAUGCUGCUUCCUUCUCCAUUCUGAAUACAGCACUCUUGUCCUGGAUUCUUUAGUCAGUAGCUACUUAUAUUCCUAGGGAAGAGACAGAUCCUCACAUUUGAUUCUGGGACUUUGGUUCAUUCUCUUUUGUUGGAAUUACCUAUUUUUAUAACAAUCAUGCAUUCCUUUCAUAGUCAAGGGAAAAACACAACAACAACAACAUUUCCCAGUUUAGGAAAAAAAGAUGACAAUGGAGACUUUUUUUCUUUGGUAACCACAGGCAGGUCAGCACCUCUACCCAGGCCUCCCGUGCUGCCCAGGACCCUCGUUCAGUUUGGCCCUGUGUGGCUGCCUCGGGCUACCCAGCUGCCUGCCAACCCCCAGUUGGCCCGCCGGUCCUCAGCGCCUGUAGCCCUCUGCCUCACUUCCUAUUAACACAAACCACGUGGGACCCUCGCGGUGGCGUCUGCAGGCAGGAGAGGAAGCCGUGGCCGCCUAGUGGCUGCUGGGAAGCCUGGCAGGAAGGGGCAUCUCCACCAGGCGUCUCCUGGGAGACAGCAAGCUCCCUGGAGAAGGGACAUUUGGAAAUAAAGCUCCUGCCGCGCGCUCUCUCUCUCUCUCU